UCAGUGACUCAGUGAACCACAGUCAUCACAAUGAGUUAGGAAACUUGUACUCCGUGGGCUCCAUCACCGCCUACUACAGUGGUUUGUCCAAGCCAUGCUGAUCUUUUAUAAUCUAGCACAAAGCUAAGGCUAAGAGAAUGAGUACUGAUAGCUACUUUUUUUCCAUAUUGAACUUGGUAGAUAAUCUUACACUCAGUACAAAUAAACUGAAUAGAUUUAAUGCUAUCAAUCAACAGUGUUUAUGCUAGGCAAAAAGACAGGAAUGUGUUCCUUUUCUCCCAGAGGAAGGAUCACUCUUCUUCAGCAAAAGCUCCAAUCAUGGCCCAAAUCUAUGCAUCUAGAGACUAACAAAUGUGAUUAUGAUACAAAGAAAUCAUCUGCACUUACAACUGGAAGAUGCUUGGUUUUCUUACGCUGCAGCAGCCCUACAAUAAGUCUUAUGCACACUGGCUUCUGGACUCGGGGAAAAACAACAGCCACAAUGAUUAUCGCUGCCCACAGAGAAUGUUUUUCAGUCAGGGCAGUGUCAGUGCUUUCACGUGAGUGCAAUCAGUAGCAAUCCAGGAAGUCAAAAGACCAGGAAACUCAAACAGCUGAGGAUGAGGACAGUGUGGUCUGCCUGAAACCUAGCUGCUGGGAGGUAAGAAAGAUGGUGAGACUGGGAGAAAGAGGGAGGAGAGAAGAUGCAAUCUGAUGCUGAAGUCAUACUAUGCUGCUGACCUUAAGAGUGAUUCAGUGAGCACCGUGUCCUCUCUCAGAGGUACGAAGCAAUAAGCAGAGAACAUUUGGCAUCCCUGUCCAUGAAGAGACCUAAGCCAACUGUUCUGCUCUCCUCCUUCAGCUGCUGUAGGAACCAGCUGCAGACAGCUCUAGGAAGGAAGUGUUACUAUGGGCAAAAGGAAUGAAACUUGAUUAAAAUAAACUUUUAUUCCCACCAUUAUGAAAAACGGGGAAGAGGAAUCUGACUGUUGUCUGUUUGCCCAUAAUUGCUAUUGCAGACAGGACUAGACAGUUACAGGUAUAGUACUUAAACACUCAUAAAUUCUACUUUGAAGGUCAAAAGUUUCUAAAAUUGUUUUUGAUUGUGACUUAUAGCAGCAGAGUUCAGAAGUUCUCCUUAAGUCCGGAGAAGCUGCCAAAUACAACCACACUUCAAUAGGUACAAAGUACCCUUUGGAGGAAUUCCUGGCUUUGUGUUAUCAUAAAACAUCCAUCAAAUUCUAAUCACCUCUCAUUACUGCACAAGCAGUAGCUUUUCUGGGUUAGAAGACCUGCAAAUGCAUACACAGAGAAGCACAGCUGUAAGAGUCAAACCCAGCUUCAUAACUCUUCCAUUUCCAAGUAAGCCUCCCAAAUUACAAUGUGAUACACUCCUACUGUAGGCAAGGUAAACUCAAAAGUGUUUAGUCAGUUCUUAGGAUGUCUAGGUCUGCACAGUUUACUGUACUCCCAUGUGCUUUUCUUCGUCCAGGAACUGCAGGAGAACUGAGGAUAUGAAGACAGUGUGAAGGAAACGACCAUCAGUUCCCUUCUCUUAGUCCAUCACUAAUUUGUAAGACGAACUACCGUGAAAGUAACACUUGACAUUCAAUAUAUAUAAUACACAUUCCCAACAUUUUCUGAAAUGUGCCCUGGUUUUAAUUAAAAUGUGAAGUGUAUACACUGAAGGACUUCUCUGCCAGGAGCCACUGCCUUGUGCAACUUUCCCACCACGGACAUCAAACGCCAACUGAAAAAAUACUCUGUUUUGUUCUUGCAUUGAAACUUCUCCAACUUUAUUACAUUUGGAAACAUAAUGUAGUAGUAGAGGGCAACAUUAUGUUGAUAUAUAUAAUUAGUUUGCAAAAAAAUAUAAUCAGGAGACACAUUUUUCAUAGAAUCAUUUCUUCACACAAUAGUUGCAGAAUAAUGGAUCACAUUGACUGAUCCUUCUUGCUAAAUGCUAUGACAAAGUAAAUGAGCAUUUGUAUAAAAAUGCUGUAACAGUUGAAGCUUGAAUUAGAGAGUCUGUAACCUUUGUUUGUGAUCAUAAAUUACAGAGAAACCCUGCAGGCAAGAAUGUAACAU